GUGUCGUAAGGAAGGAGAGAAAACUAGCAAUCCCCUAGACAAGGAUAGAAGAGACUGCUGGGCUUGACAACACGCAUACGGUUAAGACACUGCCCCUGCUGCAUGCUAUCCAACCAGGCUUUCAA
ensembl:snRNA